ACAUGUAAGCCAUAGACGCCAGCCACGGCUGCAUUUGUCCUAAUGCGUAGGAGUCCGCCACACCCCAAAUGGAGGGCCCAGGAAGAAAAAUGUGGAACCAGCCUGACGGCUCAGGAAAUCCCUGGCACACCCGUGGGUUCCCGCAGUCUGCCUGGCUCUGCAGCCCUCACGCCCGUCUUGAGCUGCCUGAGUCACUUCUCCCCACGCCCAGCUCUGCCUCUUUCUGAAUGGAGCGGAUUAUCAUAACACCAUAUGUCAGAAGAGCAAUUCACAAUUUACAAGGCCCCUUUCUGCACCAGCUUGCUUCUGAUCUUCCAUUGGGACUGCGAGGUUGAGCGGACAGCUCUCUGCUGUGGCCUGGGAAAGCAGUAGAAGAUGGCCCAAGUCCUUGGGCCCCUGCACACGCGUGAAAGACUGGGAAGAAGCACCUGGCUCCUGGCUUCGGAUCGGCGCAGCUCGGCCGUUGUGGCCAUCUGGGGAGUGGACCAAUGGAAGGAAGACCUUUCUCUCUGUCUCUUCCUCUCACUAUCUGUAAC